rnacentral:lncRNA from 1 species
UUGCAUGUUUCUUUACUAUAACUUAGGACAGAGUUGGAUAAACAAACAGAAUCUCAAGUACCAAAACAGAUUCCUCCAAAAAAAAAAUCAAUGGAAGAAACAAUUAAGAGUGUGGUUGAUGAUUGCUUCACCAGUGCUAUGGCACUUACCGACUCAGGUGUCCUUCAUGUGCCUACUCGUUACAUUCUUCCACCUUCACAACGACCAAUGCUCGGUUCAAGCAUUGGCAGUGACACCAUCACGCUCCCUGUCAUUGAUCUCUCCCUCUUACACGAUCCUUUGCUUAGACGCUGUGUCAUCCAUGAGAUUGAAAUGGCCUGCAAGGGAUUUGGUUUCUUUCAGGUAAUGUUUAUACUCUCUUUGUCUACUUAUUACACAUUACAAGUUAUGCAACCCAUUUUCAUGCAUUAUUACUAUCCAAAUGAAUAACAAGUUUCAUGUUUGAGUGUCUCAUUUUCAUGUGUCUAUAUAGUUCAUUAAAUUCAGCCAUGUGUUUCAUUUCUCUGGUCACUAGGACUAGUGUAAUGUUUUAUAGCAUCUACCAAUCACAUCUGAUAUAUGACUUUAUGAGAAAGGCAAUUAUUGUCUUUUUGCAUUUAUCUCAUACUCAACAAAGUCCCUAAUCAAAACAAACUGAGAAAAAACAAAGUCCUUAGUUACUGUCUUUAUUGAGACUUAAAAAAGUAGCCAUGUGAAGAUGCUUAUCUUCAUACUUUAUAACACAACUCAGAUCCAAUCUUAAUUCUCUACAGAUUAUAAACCAUGGAAUAUCAUCAUCAGUGGUGAAAGAUGCGCUAGAUGCAGCUACAAGGUUCUUUGACUUACCUGUCGAUGAGAAGAUGCUUCUGGGUUCUGAUAACGUUCAUACACCAGUAAGGUAUGGCACCAGCUUAAACCACU